AUGACAAGAAGAUAUUGGAACAUUAAUUUGAAAGAUAUGAGAGAAGCAGGAGUUCAUUUUGGUCAUGGUAUUAAGAAAUGGAAUCCUAAAAUGGCCCCUUACAUUUCGGCAAAGCGUAAAGGUACUCAUAUUAUAAAUCUCGCUAGAAUGGCUCAUUUUUUAUCAGAAGCUUGUGAUUUAGUUUUUGAUGCAGCAAGUCAGGGAAAAAGUUUCUUAAUUGUUGGUACCAAAAAAAGAGCAACAGAUUUAGUAGCAUCAGCUGCAAUAAGGGCUCGUUGUCAUUAUAUUAAUAAAAAGUGGUUCAAUGGUAUGUUAACGAAUUGGUCGAUUACGAAAACUAGACUUUCUCAAUUUAGAGACUUAAGAGCAGAAGAAAAAAUGGGAAAAUUCCACCAUCUCCCAAAAAGAGAUGUGGCAAUCUUGAAGAGAAAAUUAUCUACUUUGCAAAGGUAUCUCGGCGGGAUCAAAUAUAUGACGAGAUUGCCAGACAUUGUGAUCGUCCUUGAUCAGCAAAAAGAGUAUAUAGCUCUUCGGGAAUGUGCCAUUUUGGGGAUUCCUACUAUUUCUUUAGUCGAUACAAAUUGUGACCCGGAUCUCGCGAAUAUAUCGGUUCCAGCCAACGAUGACACUAUGACUUCAAUUUGA
rnacentral:rRNA from 1 species